CUAAUGGAGGAGGCAGAUUUAAUGCGACAUGACGGUUCAGACUGAAGUUGCUUUCAACAACAUCAGAAACGUUUCGGAAUCAGUACCACAAAUAAAACUGACCUGGAUUGGAAAAAAUGUUAUCUGUGUCAUUCAGACUGUCAUAAAAAAAUCCGAUAUGGGUCGCAUGACAGGAAACAUUUGGAUUUGAUGCACUUUUGCCUGGAGUGUGAACAUAGCCUAAGUCUUUGAUGAUAAAAGUAAAACAUCGUAGUGAGAGUUUUAUCAAUUACACAACAGGUUCAACAUUGUCAUUUUUGGAGCUGUUGAUGGGUACUCCAGGAAGAUUGUGUGUUUGGAAGCUGCAACAAACAAUCGUGCUGCAACUGCUUUUGCUGUCUUUAAAAGGGCUACUGACCAGCAUGGCAUACCCUCAAGGUAAGAGGCUUCAGUUAAUUGUUGCUUCUUGA
rnacentral:lncRNA from 1 species